UACGGGGGGAGCAAGCGUUGUUCGGAAUCACUGGGCGUAAAGGGAGUCUAGGCGGUUGUUUAAGUUUGGUGUGAAAUCUCCCGGCUCAACUGGGAGGGUGCGCCGAAUACUGAAUGACUAGAGUGCGGGAGAGGAAAGUGGAAUUCCUGGUGUAGCGGUGAAAUGCGUAGAUAUCAGGAGGAACACCGGUGGUGUAGACGGCUUUCUGGACCGUAACUGACGCUGAGACACGAAAGCGUGGGGAGCGAACAGG
rnacentral:rRNA from 1 species